rfam:Rhizophagus irregularis DAOM 181602 strain DAOM 197198 GLOINscaffold_14318_Cont14275, whole genome shotgun sequence.
UGAACGGAAAGCUUGUGUUAAGGGAAAACAUACGGACAACGGAUUUAUUCCGCUGUCACUUUUUACCCUUGGGAAGGUCUGAGAAAAACUAUAAAAGUCUCUAGCUGAGACACUCAUGAGAGUGAGUGCGAACAACCAGAAACGGUACCCUCCUUGGUUUGUAAGUGUGAAGUCUUUAUGACUGAUUAUUUUCUUACCAAUGGAGUGUUGAAACGCGGUUCGCUGGUGGAAGUUCUAUGAAGUGCAAUACACAAGACAUUACAAUGUGAUGUAACUCAAUUCAGACUACUCUUUUGUUCG